UGUUAUACCACAAUUCUGACCGCUAAGGCAUCGCCAUUAGUAAACGUCUGUGGUAAAUAUCUAGCUAAGUGUAAAUAUAUUGGCUCAGUAGAAGUGAUAGAAGUCAUAGAUAGAAGUGCUCAUUAGAUUCUGAGAGAUAACUUUCGCGUGUUUUUGGUGUUUCUCGAUUAGUACCCUUUGUAGAUCUAUUAUCUAUGGUAGAGAGCCAUGUAGAAAUGUUUGGCAGUUUGCACAUAAAUCAAAAUAUUAAAUUUAUUUACUGAAUAAAUUUUUAUAUGAGAUAAUACUCAAGAAUUUUUAACAAAUUUUUUUGUACAUGCCCAACAUUAACCAUUUUUUAAUCAUUGUCUAUUAACAUUGAUACACUAUUUAAUCUCAAACACAACUACAUGCACAACUGCCACCCGACAGCCGCCAGGUUAUUUUUUUAGUAUUGCUGUAGCAUUUUGUCAAGACUACUAUGUACUAUAAACCAAAUGAUAUGAAAUAAAAAUACAGACUGCAUAAAAACGACAAAAAAUGUUUUCGUUUUCGGUGUCAGUUCAUUUGGAUAAUUUAUUUACUGAUGAACGUUCGCGUUGCAAAUUGUAUGUGUCCAGUGAACACCAAGAAACUGUCGGUGAUUUUUUACUUAAAAUAAGAAAAAUAUUCGAUAUAAAAGACUCAAUUGAUUUAUAUAUAGAAGAUUUUGAAUCACUUUACUACAUUCCACCUAGCGAAGAUGUACGAAUUUUGCAAACAAAUAACAUUAUUGUAGUAAAAAGAAAUUGUAACGGAGAAAUUAAAAGUACAGGAACGUUCUACAAAAGUAAAAUAAAAAAACGAAAGCGUACUUUAUCAAUAGAAGACAAAAAUGAAGAUGAAGCAAAAGAUAAUACUUCUGAAGUUAAAGAAAAAGGGAACAAAAAGAAUAGGGCAAUGAAUAAAAAAAAAUUAAAUAACAAAUCUCAAACUAGUACAUUAAACUUGAAGGAACUUGUUGCUAAUGAAAAGGGACAAAAUGAUAUAACACUACAUAAUCAGGGGAGUUUAAAAAACAGUGAAAAUUAUCAUAGUAAUGGUCAUGCAGAGAAUCUUUGUAAUGGUGUAACACAUAUGAAAACAGACCAAAAUAUUUUACAGGAGCAAUUAUUACCAUGUUCUACAGCUUCUAAUAACACAAAAGAUUGUGAUUACGGUAAUGUUCAUAAAAUUUAUAAUCCAUCUUACAGUAGCACUACCUUUAAAACUUUAGGAACUAUGGCAAAAUCUGGAAAAUGCACAUUUACAGAAAGAAAACCCAUUCAUACAUUGAAAAUAUCAACCAUUCCUAAACUAAUUCAACCAAUUAAAGUAGUUGAUAAAGAAACACCACAAAUUGAUAAGAAAAUUGAAGAUGCAAACAAUAUUUCUGACCCUUCUCAUGAUAGUACAAUAAAAAUAUUGGAAGAUGAUUUAUAUAGAGCCAAUAAUAAAAACUCACUUGAAUUAUCCCAAAAAUUAACUGAACAUUCUGAUGCUUAUGAAGAAGGGGAAACAAAUGUAACAAAGAUUAAAAAUUCAUGUACAAGCAUAAAUUCAAUACCUACUUCAAUCGAUUCAUCUAUAAAUUACACAGGUAUUAAAGAAGAGACAGAAAAAUGUGAUAUGAACUACUUCACUGCAAAUUUUGUCACAAAAAGAAAACGUAAAAGACACAGAAAGAAAAAGUCAUGUGUCAAUAAACAAACAGAAGAUUACUGUGAAUCUACUCAACUAAAUGAAACCCCCAAAACUUCAGUAAAAUUAUCUGCACCUCUGAUACACAUAAAAUUUGCUGACGAUUACCAAAUGAAUCAGAAAGAUGAAGAAAGGUGCAAUGACUUUGAAAAACAAAAUCAACAACUAGAGUCAAGUAAAUUAGAAAUGGAUACUCCUAAUAAAAACGAAAGAGAGCAGAACACUGUUAAAAGUGUUAUUUUAAACAAUAAUGACAAUACUUUAGAAGAAAAAUGCCAUAUCGAAAAACCCAAAUCAGGAAUUAGAAUUUUAAAUGAUAUUAAAAUUUGUGAUUCAUUCGUAACUAAUUCAAAUAACGAAGACAAAACAUUUACAAAUGUAAUCACUAAUAAAAAUAAUAGUGAGUGCCCUCCAGAGUUGUUAAAUUCUAAUUUAAACCACACUAUAAAUUGCACCAAAAACAGUAAAUUCAAACCAAAAACUACCCCAAAAUGUAAUGAUAAAAGUAGAAUAUCUACUGCCAUGCAAAGGGCAAUAAAUAACUACUUCAAAGAAUUAAAUGGAAAUGGAACAUCGAAAAAAGAGACCCUUCAACAUUCAGAUUCUAGUGAUAGCUCUGAAAGUGGUUCAUGCAAUGACACAGAAAGCAAUUUUGCUGAAAAUUGUUUAAAAUCAAAAAAUAGUUCAACAUUGGAUAAAAAACAACUUAAUUGUACUGAUAAAUGUGCUGUAGAAACACUUCAAGACAAUGAAAAUUUUUUAAAUAAAGGAUGUGCACUAACUGCGGCAAAAGAAGUAUUUUCUCCUUUUUUAAUUAGUGAAUCGGAUAUUUUAAAGAAAACUUUGAUGAAUUCAAAACCGACGAAAGAUAACAUCGUUGCAUUUAAGAUAGUUGUACUGACUGAAAAUUACACACCAGAAGUAUCAAAAUUUAUAAUUGCUAAAGUGCUAGAUUUUCAAGCAGCAGAUAGUAUCGUCAAAUUCUACGUCCUAAUUAAUAUCAGAGCUCUGUCCCGUGACCCAUCUGCAAGCAGUAAACAACGAUGAUUCCUUCAACUUUCAACAUUCGAGGGAUUCUAACCUUGUGUGCUACACCUUUACCAUCAAAAUAAAUAAGAUGGCGGUGAUCAACUAAGCCAACCAAAGGGAAAAUUUUCUUUAGAAGAUACUGAGGAAAUGAAUACAAAAGAAAUUACUUGUAAAUGGGAAGAAAUAUUAGAACCUCGAUUGUUGUACUCUUAAAAAAUCGUUAUUAUCUAAAUUGUUUAUUAGUAAUGUAAAUAUUUAAGGAAUAAAAAUUUACUUAAGUUCA